rnacentral:rRNA from 1 species
UACAGAGGUCUCAAGCGUUGUUCGGAUUCAUUGGGCGUAAAGGGUGCGUAGGCGGCGUGGUAAGUCGGAUGUGAAAUCUCGGAGCUUAACUCCGAAACUGCAUUCGAUACUGCCGUGCUUGAGGACUGGAGAGGAGACUGGAAUUUAUGGUGUAGCGGUGAAAUGCGUAGAUAUCGUAAGGAAGACCAGUGGCGAAGGCGGGUCUCUGGACAGUUCCUGACGCUGAGGCACGAAGGCCAGGGGAGCAAACGGG